UAGUUUUUAGUUUAUAUUUUAUUAAAAUAAAAUUUUGUGGUAAUUUAGAAUUUUAAAGCUAA
rnacentral:tRNA from 1 species